UCGGCCACAUGUUUGCUUCUGUUUUCUGUCUUUAUAUUUACAUCUAUACAGCUUUCAGGCACAGAAUCUACUGAUGAUAAGUAUUUAGAGAGUUCCUCGGAGGAAUAUAGUGAUGAUAUUUUCUUGGUGCCGAACGAAACUAUAUGGGUUUACAAUUCCACCAAAAGAAAUCCGGAUCAUUGUAAAGUAGACGUUAUCCACUCAAGAGCGGCUGUUUAUACCAUAUUCAACCGGUACUACAUCUUCGAAGACCAAAUAAAACGCAGCAUCAUUCUCGGAUAUUUUUAUACUAGCUGGAAAAGCUUGAACGCAACGGAAACACGCAAUGCAUUGCGUAUAGAAGGCCUAGUGAACCGUACGACUGCGAAUGAGACGUUAAUAUACCGUAGCAAGAAUAACACCUGUGGCGUCUUCAAUGUGAAUCUCUUUGAUGGACCUUAUCAUGAAACAUGGUACGAAAUUCGGACUAAAAAAUUCAUCUCUUUUAGACGGACCUGAUUCCGAGUGCCUUGGAAAAUAUACCGAGAAUCUAGGUGCGAACGAUUCUCGUUAUUUUCCAUCAACGUUCAACUACAGCGCUGAGUGCCAAUGUAUAUUUCAAAUAAACUCAAAAUGACGGCAAG